rnacentral:rRNA from 1 species
GACGAACGCUGGCGGCGUGCUUAACACAUGCAAGUCGAACGAAGUGGCGAAAGGGUGAGUAACGCGUAAUCAAACUGCCCUUCAGAGGGGGAAAACAGUUGUAAACGACUUCUAAUACCACAUACUGAAGGAGGGGAUUUCGUCUGAGUGGCUCGUUGGAGGGGUAACGGCCCACCAAGGCGAUGAGCAGUAGCCGGUCGGAGAGGAUGCACGGCCACAUUGGGACUGAGACACGGCCCAGAAUCCUACGGGAGGCAGCAGUGGGGAAUCUUCCGCAAUGGACGAAAGUCUGACGGAGCAAGGCCGCGUGAGUGAUGACGGCCUUCGGAUUGUAAAGCUCUGUGAAUCGGGACGCGGUACCGGAAUAGAAAGCCACGGCUAACUACGUGCCAGCAGCCGCGGUAAUAC